rnacentral:rRNA from 1 species
UACGAAGGGGGCUAGCGUUGCUCGGAAUCACUGGGCGUAAAGCGCACGUAGGCGGCUUUCUAAGUCAGGGGUGAAAUCCUGGAGCUCAACUCCAGAACUGCCUUUGAUACUGGGAAGCUCGAGUCCGGAAGAGGUGAGUGGAACUCCGAGUGUAGAGGUGAAAUUCGUAGAUAUUCGGAAGAACACCAGUGGCGAGGGCGGCUCACUGGUCCGGUACUGACGCUGAGGUGCGAAAGCGUGGGGAGCAAACAGG